CUCAGUUUCACGCACCAGAAAAUGAAAAAGCACGACAUCGGUAGGCAUACCAUACCAUUCUGUGAUUACCUGGGGCAUUCUCGAGAGGGUUUGAGUAAUAGAGUAUUUGGAAAUAUGAAGAAAAGUAAUCUGAAGAGGAACUCCUCGUUGAGAGCUUCAGAGGAAACUGAGA